rnacentral:rRNA from 1 species
UACGUAGGUGGCAAGCGUUUGUCCGGAUUAUUGGGUUUAAAGGGUGCGUAGGCGGCCUAUUAAGUCAGUGGUGAAAUAUCUCAGCUCAACUGAGAGUGUGCCAAUGAUACUGAUGGGCUUGAGUACAGAUGAGGUAGGCGGAAUUGACGGUGUAGCGGUGAAAUGCUUAGAUAUCGUCAAGAACACCUAUAGCGAAGGCAGCUUACUAGGCUGUAACUGACGCUGAGGCACGAAAGUGUGGGGAUCAAACAGG